rnacentral:rRNA from 1 species
GAUGAACGCUAGCUAUAGGCUUAACACAUGCAAGUCGAGGGACCGGCGCAUGGGUGAGUAACACGUAUCCAACCUGCCCUUUACUCGGGGAUAGCCUUUCGAAAGAAAGAUUAAUACCCGAUAUAAAGGAUGGGGAUGCGUUCCAUUAGGUUGUUGGCGAGGUAACGGCCCACCAAGCCUUCAAUGGAUAGGGGUUCUGAGAGGAAGGGCCCCAGAAUUGAAAAUGAAACCCGUUCCAGACGCUAUCAGGAGGAAGAAGUGGGGAAUAUUGGAAAGGGGGCAGUAGCCUGAACCUGCCAAGUAGCGUGAAGAAUGAAGGCUUAUGAAUCGAAAACUUCUUGUAUAUAAGAUAAUGUAUUAUAUGAAUAAGGAUCGGCUAACUCCGUGCCAGCAGCCGCGGUAAUUC